CCUACGGGUGGCAGCAGUGGGGAAGAUUGCACAAUGGGCGCAAGCCUGAUGCAGCCAUGCCGCGUGUGUGAAGAAGGCCUUCGGGUUGUAAAGCACUUUCAGCGGGGAGGAAGGCGGUGAGGUUAAUAACCUCAUCGAUUGACGUUACCCGCAGAAGAAGCACCGGCUAACUCCGUGCCAGCAGCCGCGGUAAUACGGAGGGUGCAAGCGUUAGUCGGAAUUACUGGGCGUAAAGCGCACGCAGGCGGUCUGUCAAGUCGGAUGUGAAAUCCCCGGGCUCAACCUGGGAACUGCAUUCGAAACUGGCAGGCUAGAGUCUUGUAGAGGGGGGUAGAAUUCCAGGUGUAGCGGUGAAAUGCGUAGAGAUCUGGAGGAAUACCGGUGGCGAAGGCGGCCCCCUGGACAAAGACUGACGCUCAGGUGCGAAAGCGUGGGGAGCAAACAGGAUUAGAUACCCCGGUAGUC
rnacentral:rRNA from 1 species